rnacentral:rRNA from 1 species
AUUGAACGCUGGCGGCAGGCCUAACACAUGCAAGUCGAGCGGCAGCGACUUAACUGAACCUUCGGGGAACGUUAAGGGCGGCGAGCGGCGGACGGGUGAGUAAUGCCUGGGAAUAUGCCCUGAUGUGGGGGAUAACUAUUGGAAACGAUAGCUAAUACCGCAUAAUCUCUUCGGAGCAAAGAGGGGGACCUUCGGGCCUCUCGCGUCAGGAUUAGCCCAGGUGGGAUUAGCUUGUUGGUGAGGUAAUGGCUCACCAAGGCAACGAUCCCUAGCUGGUCUGAGAGGAUGAUCAGCCACACUGGAACUGAGACACGGUCCAGACUCCUACGGGAGGCAGCAGUGGGGAAUAUUGCACAAUGGGGGAAACCCUGAUGCAGCCAUGCCGCGUGUGUGAAGAAGGCCUUCGGGUUGUAAAGCACUUUCAGUAGGGAGGAAGGUAGUGUAGUUAACACCUGCAUUAUUUGACGUUACCUACAGAAGAAGCACCGGCUAACUCCGUGCCAGCAGCCGCGGUAAUACGGAGGGUGCGAGCGUUAAUCGGAAUUACUGGGCGUAAAGCGCAUGCAGGCGGCCUGUUAAGUCAGAUGUGAAAGCCCGGGGCUUAACCUCGGAAUUGCAUUUGAAACUGGCAGGCUAGAGUCUUGUAGAGGGGGGUAGAAUUUCAGGUGUAGCGGUGAAAUGCGUAUAGAUCUGAAGGAAUACCAGUGGCGAAGCGGCCCCCUGGACAAAGACUGACGCUCAGAUGCGAAAGCGUGGGGAGCAAACAGG